rnacentral:rRNA from 1 species
CCUACGGGAGGCAGCAGUGAGGAAUAUUGGUCAAUGGACGAGAGUCUGAACCAGCCAAGUAGCGUGAAGGAUGACUGCCCUAUGGGUUGUAACCUUCUUUUAUAAAGAAAUAAAACGAGGCACGUGUGCCUUUUUGCAUGUACUUUAUGGAUAAGGCUCGGCUAACUCCGUGCCAGCAGCCGCGGUAAUACGGAGGAUCCGAGCGUUAUCCGGAUUUAUUGGGUGUAAAGGGAGCGUAGAUGGGUUCUUAAGUCAGUUGUGAAAGUUUGCGGCUCAACCGUACAAUUGCAAUUGAUACUGGCAGUCUUGAGUACAGUUGAGGUAGGCGGAAUUCGUGGUGUAGCGGUGAAAUGCUUAGAUAUCACGAAGAACCCCGAUUGCGAAGGCAGCUUACUAAACUGUGACUGACAUUGAUGCUCGAAAGUGUGGGUAUCAAACAGGAUUAGAUACCCGGGUAGUC